UACAGAGGUGGCAAGCGUUGUUCGGAAUUACUGGGCGUAAAGGGCGCGUAGGCGGCCUUCUAAGUCAGACGUGAAAUCCCCAGGCUUAACUUGGGAACUGCGUCUGAUACUGGGAGGCUUGAGUGCGGGAGAGGGAUGUGGAAUUCCAGGUGUAGCGGUGAAAUGCGUAGAUAUCUGGAGGAACACCGGUGGCGAAGGCGGCAUCCUGGACCAAUACUGACACUGAAAAGCGAAAGCCAGGGGAGCAAACGGG
rnacentral:rRNA from 1 species